rnacentral:tRNA from 1 species
GGGCGUGUAGUUCAGCGGAAGAACGCGAGGUUCCGGACCUUGAAGCGGGAGUUCGAUCCUCUCCAUGCCUACCA